GAGUUAGCUUUAGCAGCACAUACACUAAAAUUGGCACAAUACGGCGAAGAUUAGCAUGGCCCCUGCCUUAGGAUGACACUCAAAUUCGUGAGUGUUCACAAAACAAA